AUGUGUGUUCGAAAGAAGAAAGGUCACAUGGGGUUUAGGGACCUUCACAGUUUUAACCUUGCUAUGUUAGCAAAACAGUGUUGGCGACUGCUCCGGAAUCCAGACUCUUUGUGUGCACGUGUUCUUAGUGCAAAAUACUAUCCUGACGGAAACAACCUGAAUGCGGGACCAAAGAAGGGUUCUUCUUACACUUGGCAGAGCAUUGUCUCAGGUAUGCAAACCUUUAAAUGGGGUUGCAUAUGGCGUGUUGGCACGGGCUCAAAAAUUAACAUUUGGCAAGAUCCCUGGAUACCAUCAAGUGAAACUCGAAAAGUAAUAACACCAAGGGGUGAUACAUUACUGGGAAAACUUGAAGAAUUAAUUGAUCCACACACUGUACAGUGGGACGUUGACCUUAUUCAAUCAGUUUUUUCGCGUGGGGAUGUUCAAUGAAUCCUCCAAAUACCUCUUCGGGUGGAACUGUUAGAGGAUUUUGUUGCAUGAAGUGGUACUCGAUCAGGGACGUUCUCUGUUUGGUCGGCCUAUCACGUGGAAUUUGAACAUCAGUUCGGUCAUCAAUGGAAUUGGCUAGAGGGCCAAGGCAGUUCCCAACUGAACACUAUAUGGAAACAUAUUUGGAGUCUUCAUAUCCCAGGUAAAGUGAAGCAUUUCGUUUGGAAAGUGCUUAGGGGAGUACUACCUUAUUUCGGAGUUCUUGCCGGACGUCAUAUCCCAACAAGUGGUGAGUGCCCAAUCUGUCAUGUUGGUUUUGAAGACAUCCAACAUUGUUUGUUCACUUGCCCUCGUGCUAUUGAAAUUUGGUCUGAACUUGGUCUGGUAGAUGUUAUCACAAAGGCGGUUGCUGAAGACCGUUCUGGACCAGUCACCAUGGAGAACAUUGGUAGGCCUCAAGUUGCUGCAGGAGAGUUGCCAUUGUCCGAAUUAGUUGCAGUUGCAGCCUGGUACAUCCGAUGGCAGCGACAACAAUUCAUGAAGGGAGAAAAUAUUCUGGCCACUAACCACACCGCUACUGCAAUUAAGGUUAUCUGCACUAACUUUGUUAGAUCGACAACUCCUAAACAACCAGUUCGAAAGCAUUAUCGCAUGUGGAAGAAACCAGGUAGAGGGGUAGUUAAAAUAAAUGUUGAUGCCUCCUUUUGUGUUGAAAAUUUAUCUGGACCUACAAGUGUUGUUGCUCGCGAUGACAGAGGUGAUUUUAUUGCAGCAGCUAACUGGUUCAUAUCACAUGUUAGUAAUGUUGAUGCAGCUGAAAUAAUUGCGGUCUGA
rnacentral:rRNA from 1 species